UUACCGCUUGCGGGAGAGUCCGGCCGGAAGGCCGGCGCCGAAGGAGCAACCGCCCCGGAAACUCUCAGGCACCCGGACCGCAAGGGGUCG
rnacentral:ncRNA from 2 species